AUAAAGCUGGUUCAGCAAAGCA
rnacentral:miRNA from 1 species